GACGAACGCUGGCGGCGUGCUUAACACAUGCAAGUCGAACGAAGAGCGAUGGAAGCUUGCUUCUAUCAAUCUUAGUGGCGCACGGGUGAGUAACGCGUAAUCAACCUGCCCUUCAGAGGGGGACAACAGUUGGAAACGACUGCUAAUACCGCAUACGAUCUAACCUCGGCAUCGAGGAUAGAUGAAAGGUGGCCUCUACAUGUAAGCUAUCACUGAAGGAGGGGAUUGCGUCUGAUUAGCUAGUUGGAGGGGUAACGGCCCACCAAGGCGAUGAUCAGUAGCCGGUCUGAGAGGAUGAACGGCAACAUUGGGACUGAGACACGGCCCAGACUCCUACGGGAGGCAGCAGUGGGGAAUCUUCCGCAAUGGACGAAAGUCUGACGGAGCAACGCCGCGUGAGUGAUGACGGCCUUCGGGUUGUAAAGCUCUGUUAAUCGGGACGAAAGGCCUUCUUGCGAAUAGUUAGAAGGAUUGACGGUACCGGAAUAGAAAGCCACGGCUAACUACGUG
rnacentral:rRNA from 1 species